GCAGAAGGACAAGUGUUUCAGGUCUCUGGCUGGGUCAUUCUGCCAUGCACAGGGUGGCCUCUUAAUGAACAACAGGGUCAGAGGUCAACAACACUGAGUCUGGGAAACCUGCCCCAGGUCCCUGUGAAUGAAGGUAAAACUUACCCAGUGCUGUGUCAGAGCAGGGAGGAGAGGUCCUGCUUUGCACAAGAACACCUGAGAAUAUCUGCUGAGACGAUGAAAGCUUUGCUGUUGGCUCAUGUCGCAGAGACUUUGGUGCUGGCUCUGUUUCUGAGCAUUAUGAUGGGAGCGAGAAGAGGGAAAGAUCUGCUCACAAUUGGCCAAGAGGAUGACAGCUCUUGCUUACUACUGACCACUGAGUUCCUCUACAUGCAUUGCCAGAAAUGUCCAGCAGAGGGCGCCCAGCCCUGUGGAUCUUUUUAGAAGACAGCCACCCUGGU